UACAGAGGUCCCGAGCGUUGUUCGGAUUCACUGGGCGUAAAGGGUGCGUAGGUGGUUGUGCAAGUCUGAUGUGAAAUCUCCGGGCUUAACCCGGAAAUGGCAUUGGAAACUGCAUGGCUAGAGGGUUGGAGGGGGGGGACUGGAAUACUUGGUGUAGCAGUGAAAUGCGUAGAUAUCAAGUGGAACACCAGUGGCGAAGGCGAGUCCCUGGACAACACCUGACACUGAGGCACGAAAGCUAGGGGAGCAAACGGG
rnacentral:rRNA from 1 species